rnacentral:rRNA from 1 species
AUUAUACGGCGAAACUGCGAAUGGCUCAUUAUAUAAGUUAUCGUUUAUUUGAUAGUACCUUACUACUUGGAUAACCGUGGUAAUUCUAGAGCUAAUACAUGCUAAAAAUCCCGACUUCGGAAGGGAUGUAUUUAUUAGAUUAAAAACCAAUGCCCUCUGGGCUCUCUGGUGAUUCAUGAUAACUCCGCGAAUCGCAUGGCCUUGUGCCGGCGAUGGCUCAUUCAAAUUUCUUCCCUAUCAACUUUCGAUGUUUGGGUAUUGGCCAAACAUGGUUGCAACGGGUAACGGAGGGUUAGGGCUCGACCCCGGAGAAGGAGCCUGAGAAACGGCUACUACAUCCAAGGAAGGCAGCAGGCGCGCAAAUUACCCAAUCCCGACACGGGGAGGUAGUGACAAUAAAUACUGAUACAGGGCUCUUUUGGGUCUUGUAAUUGGAAUGAGUACAAUUUAAAUCCCUUAACGAGGAACAAUUGGAGGGCAAGUCUGGUGCCAGCAGCCGCGGUAAUUCCAGCUCCAAUAGCGUAUAUUAAAGUUGUUGUGGUUAAAAAGCUCGUAGUUGAACCUUGGGCCUGGCUGGCCGGUCCGCCUCACCGCGUGUACUGGUCCGGCCGGGCCUUUCCCUCUGUGGAACCUCAUGCCCUUCACUGGGUGUGGCGGGGAAACAGGACUUUUACUUUGAAAAAAUUAGAGUGCUCAAGGCAGGCCUAUGCUCGAAUACAUUAGCAUGGAAUAAUAGAAUAGGACGUGUGGUUCUAUUUUGUUGGUUUCUAGGACCGCCGUAAUGAUUAAUAGGGACAGUCGGGGGCAUCAGUAUUCAAUUGUCAGAGGUGAAAUUCUUGGAUUUAUUGAAGACUAACUACUGCGAAAGCAUUUGCCAAGGAUGUUUUCAUUAAUCAGGAACGAAAGUUAGGGGAUCGAAGACGAUCAGAUACCGUCGUAGUCUUAACCAUAAACUAUGCCGACUAGGGAUCGGACGAUGUUAUUUUUUGACUCGUUCGGCACCUUACGAGAAAUCAAAGUGC